CGGCUUUACGCACCCGCACGAGGUCGCUGUGGGUCGAGGGCCGGGCUCCUCCACGUCGCGCAUGGCUAGUGGUCUCACAGGUAAAAUUUAGACAAGAUUUCCAAAGAUUGAAAACCAUCACAAAGAACACUGAGGAAGUUAGAUGAGACUUUGGUGCUGUGGCCUCUCCCGUUGCAGAGCACAAGCUCCGGACACGCAGGCUCAGCGGCCAUGGGCCUAACCGCUUCGCGGCAUCUUCCCG